UAUUGUGGUAGCUCGAUUAUU
rnacentral:piRNA from 1 species